GACGAACGCUGGCGGCGUGCUUAACACAUGCAAGUCGAACGGAAAGGCCCUGCUUUUGUGGGGUGCUCGAGUGGCGAACGGGUGAGUAACACGUGAGUAACCUGCCCUUGACUUUGGGAUAACUUCAGGAAACUGGGGCUAAUACCGGAUAGGAGCUCCUGCUGCAUGGUGGGGGUUGGAAAGUUUCGGCGGUUGGGGAUGGACUCGCGGCUUAUCAGCUUGUUGGUGGGGUAGUGGCUUACCAAGGCUUUGACGGGUAGCCGGCCUGAGAGGGUGACCGGCCACAUGGGGACUGCGAUACGGCCCAGACUCCUACGGGAGGCAGCAGUGGGGAAUAUUGCACAAUGGGCGGAAGCCUGAUGCAGCAACGCCGCGUGCGGGAUGACGGCCUUCGGGUUGUAAACCGCUUUCGCCUGUGACGAAGCGUGAGUGACGGUAAUGUGUAAAGAAGCACCGGCUAACUACGUG
rnacentral:rRNA from 1 species